CACAGCCUAAAGGACAGGCCCCAACAACACGGCUCACACGGUCAGAGCUAAUUAAAGCAAAAGACCAGGACACCAAACAACAUGGAAAACAAAGAGAGCAGAAAACAUAGAAACUGGAAAAAAGAAAAUCCGACAGCAGCAUCACAGCUCCGAUGAAAAAACACACCCGCCAACCUCGGAUAAAUCAGCGGUGUCUCAAGUGAUCAAUCUGAAAAGGUGGGCAAGGGAGGCCGUCGCGAGAUAGGACAUGCACAAGGGAAGAAGGCGGUCGGUCAAUCCAGACCUCCGGGCACUUCUUCCGCACAACUAGCGAGGCAACCAAAUCAGCUGCAGAGUUCGCUUUCUGAGGAAUCCAAAACCAAGCGAAGCGCGGGUUUGAGGAUAAUCGGUGAGGAAGGGAUACGCUUGGCCACAUCGAUAGCCACCGCUGCUGCCGCCGCCUCCGCCUCCAACGCAGAGCCCGAUCGACACAAAAGAGUAGCUCCCUCAAAUAGGAUGCCAUGAGAAUCACGAGCAAGAGCAGAAACACCGGUAAGCUUCGAACUCUCAAUCCAAGCUACAUCACAGUUGAUUUUGAUAUGACCAGGAGGAGGUGGACUCCAGUUUUGGGCCUGAUUGCACAUUGCACUACUACCUGGAGAAUUAUGGUGCUUAAUCUGGCACUGAUAGUGAGAAUGAUAUUGUGGGAAUAGAGAUGAUUGUAACUGGUGGUGGUUUGAAUUUGAGGUUUGGAGAAGAGAUUGGGGAUGAGACUGAUGAAGUACGGGAUGAUUGUGGAGGGGAACUGAAGUGCGGUCAAUGUAAUGCUGAUCACUUGGGCAGGCAUAGUUAAUCGUAACAGAUGGGAUGGAAUCGGAGCAAUGAAAAUCGGGGUGUAAGGGGAGCGGAGAAAUAUGAGGCAGAGCUGGGUUUGCUCCGAGAGAAACAACAGGGUUGUAUCCAGAAGGGAUAGUAGAAGUAGAAGUAGAAAGGUGAGCAGAGAUGGGGAUUAGAGUAGAAGAAUGAGUGGGGGAAGGGGGACUACAUACCUGAGAGUGUCGCGUGUGCUCAUGAGGAUGAGGAUUUGAUCCUGAAAUGGGAUUGUGAUUAUUGCAGGUGAUGAAUUCAGCAGCAGCGAUACCAGCUCUUCUGGCAAUCAAACUCGGAUCAAUAGGGAUAGCCUCAUAGACAAAUGCAUUCCUAGCUUUCCAAAUUUCCCAGAGGAGGAAAGCAACCUUGUGACCUGUGUGGAUUCUGGGGAUGAAGCUCUUUAGGUUUGCUUGAUAUUGAUUUAAACCAAAGUUAUUCGGAUUCUACUCCAACCAUUUCGCCGAAGUCAUCAUCAGAUCAAGAGGGACCAAUCAAUUUUAUCAUCACAGCUUACUGUAUGCCAGGGAUGAGAGGUUAUGAUUUGCUGAAACGGAUCAAGGUGCUUGGAGGAAGGGGCUGAGGCGUUUCUUUUGAAGCCACCAAAGUUAUCAGAUUUGAGAAAGCUAAUUCAGCCUUACCUGAUCAAAUCACUCCACCAUUCUGGUAACAACAACACUGACAGUUGCUGGGAGGCUGCUGAUAUCAAUGACCAGUAAAAACAAAAACAAAAAAACAAAAGCACUUGAGAAUAAGUGACAAUUUGUACAUGUACUGGUAGCGAUCGUGGGAACAUGAAUCACAUCUUUGUGUUAACAUGUAUGCAUUGUUGAAUAUGUGAUCGGACCUAGGUACUGAUACGGUCUUGCUAGAUUGAUUAACUGAUGACGCGAGUUCUUUUGCUGACUAGGCAUUUCAAAAUAUCCUGGAUCAGCUAUCCUUUUCUGGUAAUGGUGUUGUAAUUAGCUAGAGAACGUACAAGAAAUCACUGAAGUUCCU